GCCCUUCCUCGCCCCGGGAGGAGCCUCCCUGCCCUGAGCCGGCUGUCCCACACAGCCCAGCUGGAAGCUCCAGUGGUCAGGCCAGGCAGGCGGCCUCCGGAGGCACCUUGGGGCGGCCGGAGACGGGGAGGAUCCACCUCUGGGCUGAGCAGGCCGCGAUGGGGGCCGUGGCCAAGCCUGGGCCCGGGCCGUAUCAGACUCUGGCACAAGAGAAGUGCAGGGAGCCCCCACCAGCCAGAAGAGCAGCGGCCACCGCUGUCCAGGGGAUGACAGAGCCCCCUUCUCCAGGCCCCCCUGAGGAGAAGGCCAUCCCCCCUGCAGACACGGGCCAUGUUCACCUCCAGGGAGCUGCUGCUGGUGUGGUUCCUGGUGCUGGCAGUGGGUGGCACUGAGCACGUCUUCCGGCCUGGCCGCAGGGUGUGUGCCGUCGGGGCUCCCAGGGGCCCCGAGUCAGAGUCUUUCGUGCAGCGAGUGUACCAACCCUUCCUCACCACCUGUGACGGGCACCGAGCCUGCAGCACCUACCGGACCGUCUACAGGACUGCCUACCGCCGCAGCCCUGGGCCCGCCGCCCCCAGGCCUCGCUACGCCUGCUGCCCCGGCUGGAAGAGGACCGACGGGCUCCCCAGGGCCUGUGGAGCAGCAAUAUGCCAGCCACCGUGCCAGAACGGAGGGAGCUGUGUCCAGCCAGGCCGCUGUCACUGCCCUGCAGGAUGGCAGGGUGACACCUGCCAGACAGACGUGGACGAGUGCAGGGCUGGAGGGGGCACCUGUCCCCAGCACUGCGUCAACACCGCGGGUAGUUACUGGUGCUGGUGUUGGGAAGGGCACAGCCCAUCUGCAGAUGGUGUGCUCUGCCUGCCCAAGACAGGGGCCCCCAGGGUAGCCCCGAACCCCACAACAGCCAGGAGACGCCACACCUCCGCUGACGACGGGACAUUAUUACUUUUGGUACGCGCUGUGACACUUCAAACUCGUACCGUGAGUAAUAAUGCGCUGUCGGCAGCCUGGCACCAAGAGCUCGACGUGGACCUCGGCUUGGACGGCUCAGCACCGCGGGGACCCUGGCGCCGAGGGGCGGGGCAGGGCGCACCUGCCGGGUCAGGGCCUGCUGACGUGGCCGGGCCGCCUGCCAGACCUCAGGCCAGCCUCGCUGCCUAGAAUGGGCGUGGGUCUUGAGCCCGGUCUCCACGGCUGUGCCCCGCGCUUGGCCGAGGCCGAGAGGCCUCUGCGUGGGGAGAAGCCGGCCUGGGGUGUGGGGUGUGGAGCGGGGCCUGCCUGAUCAGGGCUGGGAUCUCCCCAGGCGUGGACAGCGCAGUCGAGGAGGAAGUGCAGAGACUUCGGUCAAGGGUGGACGUGCUGGAGCAGAAGCUGCAGCUGGUGCUGGCCCCGCUACAUAGCCUGGCCUCGAGGGCCCUGGAGCAUGGGCUCCCGGACCCCAGCAGCCUCCUGGCGCAUUCCCUCCAGCAGCUGGACCGCAUCGACUCUCUGAGCGAGCAGAUCUCCCUCCUGGAGGAGCAGCUGGGGUCCUGUUCCUGCGAGAAGGAGCUGUAACAGGCGGCCCAGGCCCCUGGCCCUGGCUAUUGGGAGCCUUGCCCACUGCGCUAGGUCGGGCCGGAGGGGGACUUCGCGCCAAGGCGGGGCGGGAGGAGGGGUCCCCCUGGGUGUGAUCCAGCCCCAGCCCGGCCAGCACCAGUGAGGGGGGCCGUGGCUCAGGGGAGGUACGAGGGUCUUGCUCACCGGGCAGCAUGUUGGGGGCACCUCUGCUCCGUGUCAGAAUAAAAUGAAGGUUCAGGC